CCCUUAUUUCUUCCCCCCCCCCCCCCCCCAACCGAUGCCCUAUUCCUCUAAGUUUUCUCCCAUCCCUCCCCACGCCAUCCGCCAAUUGACAAAUUGCCGGCGCCUCACUUAGCCGGCGAGAGUCUUUUUCUUCCAUGGGAAUGUUCUCUCUGUGCUUGGUGUCUCGUGCUCGCUCUCUCAAGGUUCAGUAAACAUUGAUCGAAGGAUGAAGGGUGAAAAAUCAAAGUUUGAAUUUUUGAUUGAAUGGACCCUUACUAGUUACUAUGCCUUUGUCUACAAAUAGCAUGCCACAUUAUUCGGGAUUGAGAGCCUCAAGCUUGAAGGGCCAUUGUAUGUUUGUAUAGUGGCUGCACAGAUUUGUACAUUGAAUGUAUUGUGUGAACUCUUGCUUGAAUAAUGAAUGUGUUUGAGUGGAUAAGUAGAGGAAUAUAAUGAAUUGAACUUAUGCAACCAUGAGUAUGCUUGUCAAGGGGCUUAUGAGUUCAACCUACUGCUUGAUGAGGUAGAAUAAAAUUAUGCUCUAUUUUGGUUUAGGCAAUAUGAGUAUGCAUGCCUUUUUGUACCUUCAUAAGUGCAAUGAUUAUUUAUCUAAAUUUGGCUUCUAGGUUGUUGAAAUUAUGGACAGAUAUGGUCAGUUUCUAAGGAUACGAUAUUUGUUUUGUUUUAUCUUUAUUUCUAUUUUUUUGGUUAUUUUUAGACAAUGCCUUAUAUUUCCAAUCAUGCUAAUUUUUAUGGCAUAUUGCACUGAAAAAGUAGUUAUUAAAGAAAUACAUGUCG